GGAGCUGCGGGUCUGGGACACGGGAGGGAAGGGACCGGGGGUGCGAGCAGUUUCUCUGCUGUUCAUAAGGAAGCCGGCUUCGAAAUUCUGCUGUAAAUGUCUUUCCCUUGUCGGUAAAUUUUAGAUCAUAUGAACUGGACUAAUCCAAAUUCUUUUUCAUUGAUUUUUCUGGUUGCCAAAAUAGUCUUUUUUUCCCCUCUCUAUUUUUGGAGCAAAAUAUUCUUAUAAGAAUUCUCUAGUAGAAUAUUUGAAUUUAUUUGUUAUUUGCAAACGUGUUUCUCUUUGCUAUGAUGGAUAGAAAAGAGCUCUUGAAAUUCACAUUCAACACUCUAACUUCCGUGUUAAACCACUCACCCAUUCAAAAGAAUGGCAUCUGGACCUGGGGAAUUGGCAUCCCUGGAGAGCUUUUAGAUAUUAAUCAUGAAAGGAAUGCGUGCAGAUUUGAUUGAUUCUGAGAAAAAUAUUAUUUUGCGAGCUCCGCAGGUAUGGUUGUAAACAUUAACAUUUAAAAGUAAACAUUUUAUCCAUCACUAAUUUUUCAUCUUAGACAUAUGCACUCUCUAAUGUAGAUACAGCAUUCUGAAAAGUGUCCUUUUCAGGCUUGGUGGCACAGGCUUUGAAUACCAGAACUCAGGCAGAGGCAGGCAGAUGUAACUUUGAGACCAGCCUGGUUUACAUAGUUAGUUCCAGGACAUCCAUAGCUAUAUUAUGAGACCCUGUCUCAUAAACAAACAAACAGAAACCAAAAUGUAUCUUCUUGUGCCCAAGUUCUGAAUGUUGCACCUGGAGUUUGGAAAUUACGUUAUGCUGUUUAAGGGUAUCAGGUCACACUAUUUUCACAGUUAGAAAAGACAUUAUAAGCCAGGUGGUGGUGUCACAUGCCCUUCAUCCCAGCACUAGGGAGGCACAGCCAGGUGGAUCACUGAGUUCAAUGCCAGCCUGGCCUACUGAGCAAGUUUCAGGACAGCAAGGGCCACACAAAGAACCGCUGUCUUGAAAAAACCAAAAAAGAAAAAAAAAAAAGGCGUUUUAGUAUAGGAUAUUGUUAGAAUGUAUCUUUUGAAUAAUUACAACCACUCAUCUAUAUCAGAAAAAUGUUUGCAAUAGUCUUUUGUCUUCUUGGUUCAAGAAAAGUACUCUGUGCAUGAACAUAUGACCCAAUUGUUAUUUUCUGGUUCUUGUGCUUCCUUCAUCUGAGAUGUGAUCUCACAGUGUGCCUCUGUCUGGUCGAGAACUCACAAUGUAGACCAGUUGGACUGAAACUAACAGAGCUCCACCCACCUCUGUCUCUGGAGGUUUGCAUCAACACAACUGUUCAAACCAUUGUCUUUUUCGAUUGUGGUCUAUUGACAGCCAGUGGUGUGACUGUGGACUUCUCCCAGGAGGAGGGGCAAUGCCUGAAUCCUGCCCUGAGGGCUUUGUACAGAGACUGGAUGUUACAGAAUUAGAGCAGUCUGGUGUCUGUGGGGCUCACUGAUCAGCCCGCCCUGGUUACCAGUGGAGCAGACCAAAGAGGCCUGGGAGAUGGAGAAGGAGGAGACAGUGGCUAAGGAUCCAGAUAUGGUGUAGAGAUUAGUGAAGGGUGGCAAGGGAUCAAGUGAAUAUACAAGUGGGACAUGAAAUCAGUUUUGCCACAGUCUGUUUCACUAGAAAUAAUUCUGGAGACUCCUACUGAGAAAAAAUUCCUCAAGAUUAUCCUCAUGUAGGCAUGAGAAGAUUUUCUACAGAAUAAUUGAUAAUGGAGUCAAAUAAAAUUUUAUUCGACUAUG